rnacentral:tRNA from 1 species
GGGAGCAUAGCUCAGCCGGUUAGAGCGCUUGCCUUACAAGCAAGAGGUCACAGGUUCGAGUCCUGUUGUUCCCACCA